AAUCAUGGAGAGUUUAAAUGUUAAACCAUUUUAGCAUUCACGAGGUAUACACUACGCAUAGUUUAGGAAGUAUACAAACUACAUAUAUAAAAUUAAACUGUGCCAGAAUAAUGAAAAAAUAGUUUGCCCCUGCUUAGCUUAGUCAUCACAAUCAGGAAAAAAUCGCAGCGUGCUUCAUCAGACAAUUUUGAUUAAGUUAUUGAUUGCUCUCAUCGUAAUAACGAAAAAAUCUACUUUCAUUGGAUAGCACAUCGACCAAUGUUCCAAGGAAUAAAAAGGAAAAUGGCCAACAACACUUAGCAGAACCGGAACCUAGACGGACAGAUACCAGCCCAAAACGACACGCUUAGGAAGGGCAAUAGUGCAAUUUUUCUGACGUGAUGAAGAUUAAGAAUUGUCCCGCUCCGGCGGCGGUGGAUUCCGUAACGGCCGUGGAACUGGCAGCGGGAUCCGGUCAUGGCCAUGACGAUGUCGACAGCGGGAAAGCAAAGAUCAUCAUCGAAUGGGGCGGAAUCAAGAGCCGAGGAAUUUGUGAUCGUUACCAGGUGUCGGAGCAAAUAAACAAGCAGCCAGCGUCACGAAAACGGCCAGAACCAAGGCCAGAACCAUGUUUCGGUGAUGAGAGACAGUAGACGUAAGAUUACGGAGAAAGAUCGCCGCGAGCGAGACCGCGAGUGUGCAUUAUUUGUUCAAAUAGAGCCGAGAAUAAAGUAAACCGAAUUGAA